rnacentral:rRNA from 1 species
GACGAACGCUGGCGGCGUGGCUAAUACAUGCAAGUUGAGCGCUGAAGGUUGGUACUUGUACCAACUGGAUGAGCAGCGAACGGGUGAGUAACGCGUGGGGAAUCUGCCUUUGAGCGGGGGACAACAUUUGGAAACGAAUGCUAAUACCGCAUAAAAACUUUAAACACAAGUUUUAAGUUUGAAAGAUGCAAUUGCAUCACUCAAAGAUGAUCCCGCGUUGUAUUAGCUAGUUGGUGAGGUAAAGGCUCACCAAGGCGAUGAUACAUAGCCGACCUGAGAGGGUGAUCGGCCACAUUGGGACUGAGACACGGCCCAAACUCCUACGGGAGGCAGCAGUAGGGAAUCUUCGGCAAUGGACGAAAGUCUGACCGAGCAACGCCGCGUGAGUGAAGAAGGUUUUCGGAUCGUAAAACUCUGUUGGUAGAGAAGAACGUUGGCGAGAGUGGAAAGCGCAUCAAGUGACGGUAACUACCCAGAAAGGGACGGCUAACUACGU